rnacentral:lncRNA from 1 species
UUCACUAAAACAAGAGUGCACACACUGAAAUGUCUUGCCUUCUUUACUAAUCAUUGAUAUUAUGUUGAUAGUCCUAAGUAUAAAGCUUUAACAACUGCCACAUAAACUUAACAUAAACCAAGAUAGCUAAACAAAGACAAAUGAACCAUGAAAAUGAGGUCAAGGUCAGAUGAACCAUGCCAGGCAGACAUGUACAGCUAACAAUGCUUCCAUACAAUAAAUAUAGUUGACCUAUUACUUAUAGUUUAAGAAAAACAGACCAAAACACAAAAAAACUUAACACUGUGCAAUGAACUGUGAAAUUGAGGUCAUGGUCAAAUAAAACCUGCGGGACUUACAUAUAGAUCAUAAAAUAAUUCCAUACACC